ACGUAGGGGGCGAGCGUUGUCCGGAAUUAUUGGGCGUAAAGGGUGCGUAGGCGGCUUGGUAAGUCAGAAGUGAAACUCCUGCGUUUAAGGUGGGAAGUGCUUUGGAUACUGUCGGGCUUGAGUGCAGGAGAGGUAAGUGGAAUUCCCGGUGUAGCGGUGAAAUGCGUAGAGAUCGGAAGGAACACCAGUGGCGAAGGCGACUUACUGGACUGUAACUGACGCUGAGGCGCGAAAGUGUGGGGAGCAAACAG
rnacentral:rRNA from 1 species